UCUCUGGUAGUAUAGUGGUGAGUAUCCGCGCCUGUCACGUGCGAGACCGGGGUUCGAUUCCCCGCCAGAGAG
rfam:Strongyloides venezuelensis genome assembly, scaffold: SVE_scaffold0000079